CGGGCUGAGUAACGCGUAGGUGACCUGCCCCGAAGUGGGGAAUAACUGCCCGAAAGGGUGGCUAAUACCGCAUGUGGUGGAACGUUCAUUCGUUCCAGUAAAGCCGCAAGGCGCUUCGGGAGGGGCCUGCGUCCGAUUAGCUCGUUGGUGGGGUAAAGGCCUACCAAGGCGAUGAUCAGUAGCUGGUCUGAGAGGAUGGACAGCCACACUGGGACUGAGAUACGGCCCAG
rnacentral:rRNA from 1 species